UACAGAGGAUGCAAGCGUUAUCCGGAAUGAUUGGGCGUAAAGCGUCUGUAGGUGGCUUUUUAAGUCCGCCGUCAAAUUCCCAGGGCUCAACUCUGGACAGGCGGUGGAAACUACCAAGCUGGAGUACGGUAGGGGCAGAGGGAAUUUCCGGUGGAGCGGUGAAAUGCGGUAGAGAUCGGAAAGAACACCAACGGCGAAAAGCACUCUGCUGGGCCGACACUGACACUGAGAGACGAAAGCUAGGGGAGCGAAUGGG
rnacentral:rRNA from 1 species